GAGAGGAAAAAAGUCGUGCGUUCUGCUGUGGGUAGCGGUUGAAAGUCCGACUGAAGGCGACUGCGCAAACGUCUUCAAGAACUAUACUAUUCACUAGGAUAAGUUGGUUGGAGAGCCCAACGGUUUCUGCAUGCAGAAAGGGACGGUGAUUUUAUUCCCGGUCUGCCUGCAGACACGAAAGAUGCACUUCUGAAAACAGACGCACAGACAGAAACCAGUCACAUAGCCGGCUAGAGUUUGCCAGUAUACCUCCCAUAAGGACAUUUACGAAAAACCGAGACUGGAAAUAAGCGAGCGGGUCAGGUUGAAACGGACCUUUGAGGUAUUUUUCUCUUUCCUUCUCUUCUCUUAUAAAAGGAAAAGAGAGAGAUGAUAAAAUGCUAUUCCUCAUAAAACUAGAAGAGACUGAUGCCCGGAUUAGGUAACUUGUUUGUCUAAUCCUCAAAGUUGGUGGAGUGAACUAGGCGGAACUAUAUCUAAAUCUUUUCUUUUCUCUAAAUUUCCUUUCUUUUUUCCUUUUCACUGACGGACGCAUUUUUUUGACGGACACACUUCCUUGACGGACACAGUUGUUGACGGACGCGCUUCCUUAGCAGAAGAGCGGCUCACUGAAGGUUGUAGGGAAAAGGUUUAAAGCCCAGAGGGAUCUCACGUAAGACGUCGAGGUCUGAUCUUAUACACUGUGUGAACGGAAGGUGUGAAAGAUGGAUGCAUGUGGACUAGAAAUUGAAUCCAGAAACACCUCGUUAAAAGCGAGUCUGGAUAAAGGGAGAAGUAUGAUCAUGGCGAGUUAUCCAUUGAAGGAUGCAGAACACCACAUUAGAAAAUUUGAUGAAUGGGUUGAAAAAAUGAGAGAAGAUGGAGUGUUUGGGGAAUUAGAGGGGCCCCCUCCAAACACUUCACAACGUGGUUUUUAUUUGGAUACACUAAAAAAUAGAUUGUCACAAGCUCGUGAAAAAAUGGCUGGUGCUGGUGUGUUCGGACGAGACAAACACCAGAAGGAAGAAACAAAACUUUUGGAUUUGAUUAGACAAACCAAGUUCAAUUUUAGUAACUAUUUUUCUGACAAGGACCCUGAACAGGAACAGGUGGAGCAAAACGGGGCUCAGGGAGGUGAGCAGGCACUCGACACUUCAGAGGAUGCCUGUUAUGGAGUUGCGUGAAGGUCAGAUAAAUUGUGAAAUAAGGCCUACAGAGGAAGAAUUGGGACAAGAGGUACGAAAAGAGUUUCAGAUGCAAGAUUUAAUAGAGGAGGCGGUAAAUAAAGCAUUUCAGCGUUUCAGUUCCUAUUGUUAUGAAAAUGUCGAUGUUUCUGUGAUUUUUGGAGGUGAACCUUGGAGGAAGGAAAGCUUAAAAUAUAAGAGGUUGAUAUAUUUACAAUUUACGAUGUCUUGAAAUUAACAUUUUAAAGGUAAGAAGAUCAAUUAGUACAUUUUCAGUGCUGUAAACCCCAACCCCGGCCCAACAUUGAGCUCCAGAAGGUGGAUCACACAGAGCAGCCCUUCACUUAGAGGCAGGAGAGAAAAGGAAAAGAAGACACAGAGAGACUGAGUGCACACAGGGCCGAUCACAGCAGAGGCAGGGCCCAGGAGUCUAGAAGCAGUUUUUACCUUAAAGACAUCUACCAAUUACUACACUAGAAUGGUAUUGUAAUCUGCAUUUAGAGUGACUGAUUCAGGAGCUUAUAUUUGAAAAUGUUAGACCACACAAGCUAAGUUUGUCAAACUGUAGCAAAGUGAAUAUAAAUUAGACACUGAUCACUGAGGAUACUCUAAGGUGGAUUAAAUGGAUCUUUACUCAGUCAACUGUUCAAAAUAGAGUGGGUUACAUCGAACAGAUAAAUUAGGACGGUUGAGUUCAGUGGAUAAAAGAGAGGCAGACAGCAGUAGAUGAAAUGGAGGGUGAGUUUGAUAGAGAAGGGGAGAAAUGGGCAAAGAAGAUCGAAGUGCGGGUUCAGUAAGAAUUAGAGAAAGGACGUAAAUGCAGCAACACUAGGGAGGCCGGGAUCCCACUAUUUGUUUAGUUAUGGAGGUAGUUUUUGAGAAAUUUCCAGCAGCGGUGAUAGAUAUUUUGAUUGAGGGCAGUAACUGUCCUUUUAUGAUUGAUACGGGGGCCAGAUACAGCCCCAUGAAUCUUUAUGUGCCCACCUGCCAAAAAACUACACAGGAAAUGGGAUUUUCAGGAGAAAAACAAAACAUACCACUUUUUCAGAACCCCUUAGAGGUGUUCUCAUAUUUGAAAAUUCAAACAUGUCAUUUUUGGGGGACGCUUAGAAUUAAAAAUCAUUGGUUGUGAAAACUUAUUUUGGUGUCUAACGUGAGCAAAUAAAUCUUAGGUUUCCAUAAAUGUGCACAUAUAGUUUAACAAGGAUCCUAUAAUGAGGCUGAAAAGCACUGGUGCAGAGGUCUUAAGACCGGACUGGUGAAAAGAUUAUGAUUUUUUGUUUAAAUUGGGAAAAAAUCCUCUAAGAAGAUAAAUCUAAAUUGAUACUGAUGGAUUAAACAAACUUUAUGUGGCCAAUGUCUGUCUGUCUGUCCUAAAUGUGGUAUGCAUGUGAGGUAGAAUGUGUGUGGUGAAGUUGGGAAUGAUUAAGAAUAUUUUUUGAUGUGACAUUAACAUGAUUUGCAUUUUUACAGGAUUGAGAAGGAGCACUGGGGGCAUAACAGAAGGGUAAUCGUAUCAAACAUGUUGCUCAGGGGCCCCAACUAGGGGAGGCUCUGACAAGACCAGAGCAGAUUGCUGUUGUAGGGUGUGAGGUAAUUUUUGGGUGUGGAGUGCAGCUGAGAUACUGUAGAUUAAUAGAUUAUAGAUUAGAAAAAUUAUUAAAUAUAUAAGUAAUUAUCCAGAAAGAAGCAGAAUGGGUGUUUUUACUUUUUGGGAAACUAAAAUCUCAGACGGGGGCAUUACAUGAUUUUAAUUUAAAGGUAGUUUCAUUUUCAAUCAUUAGAAUUGCAUUAGAGAUUGAUUAGUUUCAUUUUUCUCUCAUUAGGAUUUUAUUAGAGAUCGAUUAGGGACAGGAUAAAUCACACUUCGAACUGGAACCGGACACAGCAUAUGGCCAAGAUACCCGCAGGAGCUCAGCAGAUUAGCGGGGUCAACUUUUCUAAAAACAAGGCUGGAGAGUUAAGAACGAUUUCGGUGUGACCUGACCCUGGGUUUUUUCAGCCUUCAGUUUUUAUCCAUAAUUAUUUUUAUCUGUGUAUAAUGCCGUUUGGAAACUGCCUAAGCACGAACUGAUUAAUUUGCAUCUCUAAUCAUUACUAACACUAACACUUUUCACUGUUCAUCUGGGCCUUACUUUCUUUGCAUGAAGUGUUAGAUUCUACUACCUUUACAAAUUUCUGUGGAUUAAGUGAUUAACUAUUGACUAAUUGAUGAACUUUUUGAUUGCUUUUUCCUGGUAACAAACCAGAGGGGUAAUUUACUUUUUCCCUGCUUGUAGAGAGUGACAGUGCGGCUGUCAGGGAGCAGGCAGGAUUAUUCAGAGGCCCAUUUAAGGAGGAUCAGGAGAUCGUUUUUCUUAAACAUGUUCCUUUAUUUUUCUUUUUCAGGCUGUGUUUGUAACAAUCCUUAAAUGUUAAAAUUUUUUCUUCCAGGACAGGCUGACAAAUGUCUCAUCCUUCAUUGUGUUUUGUUUAAGAUGUGCAUUAACCCUUAUUUUCCCAACAGCUGCAGAAGUUCUGGCAUGUGAAAUGGACAACUUGGCUGAGAGUGACUAGAGCAAGAGAGAGAGGGGGGUUCAGAUAGUUGAAAACUUUUCGAUAGGAGGAUUUGAAUAGGUUCGAACUGACUGGACUGACUUGGUUAGUAACUGGACUGGAUCGGAACCAUGGAUUAGGACAUUAGAGAGAUGGUGUGAGAACGCAGCAUGCCAGAGACAGGGUGUAGAGAUUGUGGCUGCAUGUUUUGUUCCCGGCUGAAGGCCAUUCCGGUGAGCUCUGGGUUUGUUUUAAUUCCUCUCUGGUUCUGAUAUGACCUAUGAGGUACAGAUUGAUGUGGUGGUUUGAAGCUCACAGACUUUUGUUGGGGUGGAACAUUAAGAGCAGUCAUGCUGACAGAGGCAUUUAACGAAUGACAAGAUGAACCAACAACUAUUUGGAGAAGUCGGAGGCACCACUGGGGUUUUUUGUUGUCUUACAUGUUUGUCGUUGUUUGUGUCUGUAUGUUUGUUUGUUUUCUGUUUUUUGUUUGUUUACUAACAUCUUAGACUUUAUGAAAAAAAAAAAAAAAAAAAAGACGUGGCACGCAUGUUAAAUUUUUUGAAUAGUUUUGACUACACUACGGAUGGGAAUGUUUCAAAAUGAACAAUGGAUCUUUGUUUGGAGAGACAUUGGACACUUUCUUUCUUGAGUCACAGGAUGGAUUAACCUACAAGGGGCACAGAGACAAACUUUGCUCCUAAACUACAGAAGGAGGGAUGGUUUGCAGCUGCUGAGAUGCGAACAUUAAGGAAAUGACUGGAUGCCCACUGCUUCAGAUGAGAAAAGAACACUGGCAGUGAUGGGUUGAUGGAAGGUCAUGGGAUCAGCGGACAAGACGGAUGAAAAAAAAAAA